GAUGAACGCUGGCGGCGUGCCUAAUACAUGCAAGUAGAACGCUGAAGCUUGGUGCUUGCACCGAGCGGAUGAGUUGCGAACGGGUGAGUAACGCGUAGGUAACCUGCCUCUUAGCGGGGGAUAACUAUUGGAAACGAUAGCUAAUACCGCAUAAAAGUCGACAUUGCAUGAUGUUGACUUGAAAGGUGCAAUUGCAUCACUAAGAGAUGGACCUGCGUUGUAUUAGCUAGUUGGUGAGGUAACGGCUCACCAAGGCGACGAUACAUAGCCGACCUGAGAGGGUGAUCGGCCACACUGGGACUGAGACACGGCCCAGACUCCUACGGGAGGCAGCAGUAGGGAAUCUUCGGCAAUGGGGGCAACCCUGACCGAGCAACGCCGCGUGAGUGAAGAAGGUUUUCGGAUCGUAAAGCUCUGUUGUAAGAGAAGAACGAGUGUGAGAGUGGAAAGUUCACACUGUGACGGUAACUUACCAGAAAGGGACGGCUAACUACGUGCCAGCAGCCGCGGUAAUACGUAGGUCCCGAGCGUUAUCCGGAUUUAUUGGGCGUAAAGCGAGCGCAGGCGGUUAGAUAAGUCUGAAGUUAAAGGCUGUGGCUUAACCAUAGUACGCUUUGGAAACUGUCAAACUUGAGUGCAGAAGGGGAGAGUGGAAUUCCAUGUGUAGCGGUGAAAUGCGUAGAUAUAUGGAGGAACACCGGUGGCGAAAGCGGCUCUCUGGUCUGUAACUGACGCUGAGGCUCGAAAGCGUGGGGAGCGAACAGG
rnacentral:rRNA from 1 species